UACAGAGGUCUCAAGCGUUGUUCGGAUUCAUUGGGCGUAAAGGGUGCGUAGGUGGCGCGGUAAGUCGGGUGUGAAAUUUCGGAGCUUAACUCCGAAACUGCAUUCGAUACUGCCGUGCUUGAGGACUGGAGAGGAGACUGGAAUUUACGGUGUAGCAGUGAAAUGCGUAGAGAUCGUAAGGAACACCGGUGGCGAAAGCGGCGCGCUGGACCUCUUCUGACGCUGAGGCGCGAAAGCCAGGGGAGCAAACGGG
rnacentral:rRNA from 1 species